GCGUCUCGAGGCGGCCAAGAAAAUAUGCAAAAAAGGUCUAGAUCAUUCAAUGUUAUGCAAAACGAGUGGGGGAAUGGCAAACUACGUGGAACUCUAGAAACGAAACUGAAUGAUUUCAUCGAGU
ensembl:ncRNA Y70D2A.3 ncRNA